CGCCCAGGCUGGAGUGCAGUGUCGCGAUCUCGGCUCACUGCAGGCUCCGCCCCCCGGGGUUCAUGCCAUUCUCCUGCCUCAGCCUCCCGCGUAGCUGGGACUACAGGCGCCCGCCACCACGCCCAGCUAAUUUUUUUUUUUUUGUAUUUUUAGUAGAGACGGGGUUUCACCGUGUUAGCCAGGAUGGUCUCGAUCUCCUGACCUCGUGAUCCGCCCGCCUUGGCCUCCCAAAGUGGUGGGAUUACAGGCGUGAGCCACUGCGCCCGGCCAACUUGCUUUCACUUUAUGGACUCCCCCUGAUUUCUUUCUUGCAUGAGAUCCAGGAACCCUCUCUCGGGGUCUGGAUCGGGACCCCUUUCCGGUAACAUCUUUCUGGCGACCACAGAAGAAAAACUGCAGACUCAAAACCUAGCGUUGGGUAGGUGACAUAUCUCUGGUGACCUCAGGAGGGGCUCCAGUGCGGAAACCCCCGACCUAAAGGCUAACUUUGGGUAAGUAGUGGGGUCCGGUAACAUCUUUCUGGCAAACCCUGAAGGGACAAUACUGAGGAGGAGCCCCCGACCCAAAGGAAAUAGACUCGGCCCUGACUGGACGACGCUGGAGAACACGUGUUGAAACUUGUGGUUGGAGGUUGGAUUAACGAUGACCGGAGCAAGUUUGAGCCUUGCCAGUGUGAUGUUAGGUGCUAAGCAGAGUGGCUGAUGUCUCUGUUUUCUCACACGUAUUUUGCCCUGGCCAGAACGGAAAGAGGUAACUUCCUUUGUGCUGCAGCUUGGCCCCCAGGGCUGUGGUACAGCCAGUCGUAAGGGAGGAGACCACCCCUCACAUUGUCUUAUGCCCAAUUUCUGCCUCCAGAGAAAGAAGUUAAAAGGCAGAAAUGAAAUCCACAAGCAGACAGCCCAACGCCACACCCUGGGCCUGGUAGUUAAAGAUCGACCGCUGGCUGAUCUAAUCGGUUAUAUUACCUAUAGAUUCCAGACAUUGUAUAGAAAAGCACUGUGAAAACCCCGUCCCGUCCUGUUCUGAUUACCGGUGCAUGCAGCCCCCAGUCACAUACCCCCUGCUUGCUCAAUCGAUCACGACCCUCUCACGUGGACCCUCUUAGAGUUGUGAGCCCUGAAGAGGGACAGGAAUUGCUCACUCGGGGAGCUCGGCUGUUGAAGAUUUGACUCUUGCCAAAGCUCCCGGCCGAAUAAAGCCCUUCUUUAACUCGGUGUCUGAGGGGUUUUGUCUGCAGCUAGUCCUGCUACAGUUGGGUCACUAGGGCCCCCCAGGAAAAGAAACCCAGAAAUCUGUCAUGCUGGCACAAGUGCAAGAACUGCUCACCAGUCAGACUUCUGUCUCUGUGUGUGUGUGUGUGUGUGUGUGUUGUGUGUGUGGGUGUGUGUAUGGUGUGUGUGUGUGGGGUGUGUGUGGGUGUGUAUGUGGUGU
rnacentral:lncRNA from 1 species